UACGUAGGGCGCAAGCGUUGUCCGGAAUUAUUGGGCGUAAAGGGCGCGUAGGCGGUUUGUUAAGUCGGCUGUGAAAGCCCGGGGCUCAACCCCGGAGGGUCAGCCGAUACUGGCAGACUAGAGUACGGAAGAGGUAGCUGGAAUUCCCGGUGUAGCGGUGAAAUGCGUAGAUAUCUGGAGGAACACCGGUGGCGAAGGCGGCAUCCUGGACCGACACUGACACUGAGGAGCGAAAGCCAGGGGAGCAAACGGG
rnacentral:rRNA from 1 species